rnacentral:rRNA from 1 species
UACAGAAGUCUCAAGCGUUGUUCGGAUUCAUUGGGCGUAAAGGGUGUGUAGGUGGCGCCGUAAGUCGGGUGUGAAAUUUCGGAGCUUAACUCCGAAACUGCAUUCGAUACUGCGGUGCUUGAGGACUGGAGAGGAGACUGGAAUUCAUGGUGUAGCAGUGAAAUGCGUAGAGAUCAUGAGGAAGACCAGUGGCGAAGGCGGGUCUCUGGACAGUUCCUGACGCUGAGGCACGAAGGUCAGGGGAGCAAACGGG